rnacentral:misc_RNA from 1 species
GUUUUUUUUUUUUCCUCAUUUCAGGAACCAUUUCAACAGAGAUUGGCAAAUUCAUUCCCCAGCUAGUAAAUAUGAGACAGAAGCAAACCAUCUAGAAAUUAAAAGAUCAUCACAAGCUUUGUAUCUAAUACAAGAGGUUUCAGGAUCUGGGCGACAGUACCAUUUCUCUUCUGUCAAGUUGAAAGUACACAAACGCUUUUUUCUAUCACAGUGGUUGAUGGAUAUAGAUGCUAACUGUGUAUAAGCUUAUUCCUAUGUAUGAAAUUUAUUCUUUUUUCUUUCUUUGGACUAUAACCAUUAAAGCCUAGGGAACCAAGACCAUGUUUACAAGUGAAAUUGAUCAUUGCCAAUUCACCAAUGUUACUCCCGCCGUCAAAGCGUUCAAGACUCCAUUUUACUGAUUACAAUAAUCCACGUCUUCAUUGGAUGAGAAGAUAAUCCACGUCAUCUCCAGAAGUUGGGGUCAAGUUGCUUCGAUACACAUUUUUGUGAACCUGGGCAUGAGUCUCUGCCUCAUGCUGAAACAUCUUCACUAGUUCUUGCAAUUCCAACUUUCUUACUUCAACCUUCUCUUCAGUGAUGGGUUGCUUCAAACCAAGGUAAAGCAACCCAACUGCAAUUAGCACCACACCUAUGAACACCAGGAGAGCUGCAAACAGACCAAAUGCAUAUGGUGUAUUGUUCGCUCCAGGGAUCCCAUCCACAUUGAUUCCAAACAACCCAGUAAUGAUUGAAAGAACAAGGCCGCAGCCUCCAAAAACAGCCAAAUUAUGGGUUACACGUAGGCUUCUAUCCUGCAACCAUGCCCGAACCGUGCUUUGCAUAACAUCUUGAAUGGUAAACAAGCGACCACGAACUGCUUCUUGCUCCUCCAUCAUUUCUCUAGUGCUCUUCCUUAUUUCCUCUAAAAAUGCUCUUGUUGCAUUUCCUCUCAACUGAUGAAGCAGCUCAAAAACAAUCUCCUCUCUUGCAUGGAGUGACCAUUUCACUCUAAUAACCUGUCUUGAUAACCUUCUGAUUUCUUGGUUCAAAAUAAUACUGAAGAGAUUCAUAUCUUCAUGGUUUCUCCUGUUCAUAAAUUUCAAUUCGAUCUCAUCUGCUGCCCCAAAUAUGGACUUGCGAAAUAACCUAUCAUCCCACCGAGUAAGGCGGCAUGCUAGUAGUGCUAUGAUUUCAUGCACUGUUCUUGGUGAAUUAUAACCUCCAGCAGAAAGAUUCUCCUGAACUUCAGUGAUGCCCAAAACAUUUACUUUUGACACAUGCCCUUUUAUGUGCAAUGCAGUGAUUAGAAAAUUUUGUGCUUGCCAAGAGCGCAUCACAAUAGGAAUGUCAUCCUCUUCAACAAAUGGAUCACCAACUGAUUGCCCCAAGAGUUCAAACAGCAGCCCUCCAGCAACCCUUACUGGGACCUCAUAAAAAAGGUGUUUCAUCCGUUCGCUUAUCAAUCGACUUUCAUCUCUCAAAGCUAAACUGAUUGCAGGAUGUAACCACUGAGCAUUGCUGAGCCAGGCCUGGAUAGAGGGAUGACCUGCAGCAACAUGGCACCACCAUAUGGGCCCUGCGGGGCGCUCCCAGUAGGGAGCUGCUAAUUCUGCAACAGUAAGACCAUCUUCUUCAUCCAUCAACUCCAGUUGCUGCGUAGCCCAGUUUGCAUCAGUUUGCACCAUUUUAACAAGUUCUGAGAUUCUAGCCCAACCAAUGGGUACCCAACGAGUAUCCCCAGAUCUUUCCACAGCAUGAUAUUGUCCUGAUUGAUCGAUCAGGCUGUCUUUAUAUUCACUUAAAGGAGCACUCUGAUUACCCCUAGACUCACAAAUGGACGAGGAUUCCAACAGUUUGUUCCGAUCCAGUCUUGGGGAAGAAGACUCUUUUAUUCCAUUUGCAUGCACGCUGUCUAUUUGUUUGCUUAUGGUAGACUUAGAAUUUAUUGAUCUCCUACCAUGUCCUCGGACAAAUUCAAAGGCACAAAUAAGCCCAUCUGUCCAAAGCUCAUUCCCAGUUAUAAUAUCUCUACUACUAGCAUAACUUCUGUGGAUGUCUGAUUUCUUCAUGUUAUUGUUCUGUGAUAUGGAGUGGUCUUCACCCAUUAGACUCACAUUGUGUUCCAUCUAUGCACAUUCCCUAGCCUCAAGCUUCACAGGAUAAUGAAUGACAAAUUCCAAUAUGUUCUUUCUUUUGGUGAAGGCAGAUAUCAUCAAAUCCAAAAGGAGGCAUCUAUUUUGCUAUGUAAGCAAGAUUGAGAGAAGAUGGAUAAACUAAAUAACUAAUGCAUCUUGUCCAUUGAGGCAAGCAACCAGUCGGUCUUCCCAAGCUCAUGCUGUAAUGGUUAAGAGGAGGAGGCAAAGAAAAAUCAAAGACAAUAACAUAAUUUUAGUCUUCUAAUGACAAAUUAGCGAAACCAAAAUCAUAAAAGAGAAAAAAGAAGUCCAAACGAAAACGAACAAUCUUCCAUUUGAAAUUUACAAUUCCCAACUCCUAAAUAGUCGAAAUUCAAAGACACAUCAAAAUUUCUUUCCAAAAGCUCCAUCACUACACUAAAUAGUAGUAAGAAAUACACGUAUUAGAGAAACUGAGCUGCAAUCAUGCACUCCAAUCUAAUAGCGAGCAUGCGCAGCCAAAAUAUGAAAUAAAAUAAACCCAGAAGCAAAUACGCCAUGUAUAUGAAGAAGCAUCAGAGAACAAAUUCAAAAGAGAGAUAACAAUUUAAUUCAAAAAUUGACCAAACACAGAACAUACCAAUAUUCCAUCUAACCCUGACAAUAGCUAUUGCCAUGGCCCAUUGCUUUGAAGAAAGACAAAAGGCUAAAAAUAUUACCAUUAGAAAACAAAGGUAAUCAAAGGAUUAAACCCGAAGAUUCAGAAAUGGUAAAGCUGCAUAGAUGAGAAGCAAUGCAGCUUGAAUUUCCUCUCACAGACUGAACAGGGGAAAGAGAGUAAAAGGGAAAGAACCAAAAGACGAGACGUUACAGAAGUGAAGACGAAGUAAAGUCGUUUUCCUGCUGCAUAGCAUCGAGAUCGAGAAAGCAUUCGGCUUUUAAAAAACACGCUACAAUCAUGCUGAGCAGAUAUGUACGCAGACCCGGCCAGGCCACGAUGCUGUCUGGACUCGGAACCCACGGUUUUGAUCCCUAGAGUAGGGAAUCAACCUGAACGGAUGAACCGAUCGCUGAGUUCCAAUUUCAAUGAUUUCGUUCAAUUUUAAUUCGGAUUAGUGGCACUUCAGGGUUAGAUUUCUAUUCUAGUUGUAGGUCUGAAUUUUUUUGCGAAUUAGGACUGGUUGGCUCAAGAAGGGAAGGGAACGAGACUCCCCUUCCUCAUUUACAAUUUCGAUUUGGGUGGGGACUGGGAAGUAUUGAUAGGUUCGAAUCACGAAUUUACUCCGGCUCCGGCCAAUUCUGCAUCUGAUAGCGAAGCUAACUCAAACUGUGAG